rnacentral:rRNA from 1 species
GACGAACGCUGGCGGCGUGCCUAAUACAUGCAAGUCGAACGGACAGGCGAUGCGUUUGCUGGGUGCUCAAGAGGCGAAGGGGUGAGAAACACGCGAGUAACCUGCCCUUAACUUUGUGAUAACAUUAGGAAACUCGGGCUAAUACCGGAUAGGAGCUCCUGAUGCUCAUUGUUGGAUGGUAAGUUUCGGCGGUUGGGGAUUGAAUCGCGGCUUAUCGGCUUGUUGGUGUGGUAGUGGCUUACCAAGGCUUGGACGGGUAGCCGGCCUGGGAGGGUGACCGGGCACCGGGGGACUGAGGGACGGACCAGACGGCAACGGGAGGCAGAGGGGGAGAAUAUUGCGAAAUGGGCGGAAGCAAGAUACAGCGACGUCGGGUUCGUAAUGACGGGUUUCGGGGUAUAAACCGCUUUCGCCUGUGACGUAGACGGAGUGACGGUAAUGGGUAAGAAAGCAACGGCUAACUACGUG